rnacentral:rRNA from 1 species
AAUGAACGUUGGCGGCGUGGAUUAGGCAUGCAAGUCGAGCGUGUACCCGCAAGGGGAAAGCGGCAAACGGGGUAGGAACGCGUAGGUCACGUACCCCUCGGCCGGGGAUAGCCACGGGAAACUGUGGGUAAUACCCGAUGACGCCGAGAGGCCAAAGGUGUGAUUCCGCCGGGGGAGCGGCCUGCGUAGUAUUAGCUAGUUGGUGAGGUAACGGCUCACCAAGGCGAAGAUGCUUAGGGGGUNUGAGAGCAUGACCCCACCACUGGGACUGAGAUACUGCCCAGACACCUACGGGUGGCUGCAGUCGAGAAUCUUCGGCAAUGGGGGCAACCCUGACCGAGCGACGCCGCGUGUGGGAUGAAGGCCCUUGGGUUGUAAACCACUGUCAGAGGGGAUGAAACGAUCAUGGGUUCUCCCAUGGUCCUGACAUAGCCUCAGAGGAAGCACGGGCUAAGUUCGUGCCAGCCAGCCGCGGUAAUACGAACUGCGCAAACGUUAUUCGGAAUCACUGGGA